rnacentral:rRNA from 1 species
AUUGAACGCUGGCGGCAUGCCUUACACAUGCAAGUCGAACGGUAACAGGUCUUCGGAUGCUGACGAGUGGCGAACGGGUGAGUAAUACAUCGGAACGUGCCUAGUAGUGGGGGAUAACUACUCGAAAGAGUGGCUAAUACCGCAUGAGAUCUACGGAUGAAAGCAGGGGAUCGCAAGACCUUGUGCUACUAGAGCGGCCGAUGGCAGAUUAGGUAGUUGGUGGGAUAAAAGCUUACCAAGCCGACGAUCUGUAGCUGGUCUGAGAGGACGAUCAGCCACACUGGGACUGGGAAACGGCCCAGACUCCUACGGAGGGCAGCAGUGGGGAAUUUUGGACAAUGGGCGCAAGCCUGAUCCAGCAAUGCCGCGUGCAGGAUGAAGGCCUUCGGGUUGUAAACUGCUUUUGUACGGAACGAAAAGCCCCGGGUUAAUACCCUGGGGUCAUGACGGUACCGUAAGAAUAAGCACCGGCUAACUACGUGCCAGCCGCCGCCGUAA